rnacentral:lncRNA from 1 species
CCAUUUUCAUUUCACCUCCAUGAAAAUCAAUUUUUUUUCAUUUGAUUUUCCUUGUUUUCUUUUCAUUUCCUUUCUUUUCUUACUUUUUUCUUCUCCUAACUUCUUGGGCACUAAACCUGCAGCUUCUAACCUCAUUUUCCAGCACAACCAAACCCUAGGAGACAGAAGAAAAAAAUCUCUCUUUCUUUCCUUUAUUUUCUAUUUCUACUCCACCAUCACCGACACUUGAAUUUUCAACUUUAAAUCUCCAUUUUUAAGGCUAAAAGGUAUAUAUUUUCAACUCUUGGAAUUUAUGAAUUUAUGGGUUAUAUUUUCAGAUUUUAUUUUCUAAUUUCUUCAAAUUCAUUUUUUUGAAAAUAUUAGGUUUUUGUUCAUCUUUAUGCCUCCAAGCUCACCAAGGUAAAGAAUCUUUAAAUUGGAAUAGUUGAUAUGAUGGGUUUGAGAAUCUAACUAGAAUUCUAGGUUAAAAAUUAGGCUAGAAUGUAGUUUAUCAAGAAUAUGCUUAUUAAAAUUAUUAAGUUUAAAUUUAUGAUAUAUUUGAAGCUAUUAUUGUUUAUUGGCAAUUAUAGGUUUUAAAGGCAUUUUAGGAUUACCUGGAUUAAGAUCUUGUGGGUGCUAGUCUUGUUAGGUGGCAUUGUUAAGGUGAGUGAACUUGCAUUAAAUUAUUUUUUAGAAAUACAUAUGUGUUGGGCUAAAGCACUUAAAUGAUUUUAUUUGAUUUUUUUUCUCUAAAUCAUGGCUGGGAACAAGCCUUUAACAAAACGUUUUAUGUUGUAAAAUGUGUAAUGUGAUGAAUCCAUGUGUUCCUAUGUUAUGAUGAUAUAUAUGUUAUGCUUUGAAUGAUAAUAUUGUGUGAUAAUUGUAACCGUGCAUCUACGGUGUGGGAGUGCACAUGCCGGUGAUGACGGGUUAUUCUAGCUAUGUGCGGUGUGGGAGUGCACACGAGCUGAUGACCGGUGGAUGAUGAUUCCAGCUAUGUGCGGUGUGGGAGUGCACAUGAGCUAAUGAGCCGGUGGUUGUAUAAAUAUUUACACAUACCAUAGAAAUGUUAGAGAAAAUAUUAUGUGAUUGCAAUGAAUGUUGAAUGUUGCAAUUGUUAAUUGUUUCCAAAUUGAUUUUCAAUGCAACGAAAAACUCUUUGUCUUACUUGUCUUGCUCGGAUAUUCAUUGUGGUUUCACUUUUCGAUUUCAUUAUGGAUCAUGGAUCCUUCAACACUAAGGGGUUAAAUAAUCAAAGGUCGAAUUGAAGGGUUUUACGAGAAAUUAAACUAAAUUGCAUUGUUUUUAAGAUAAGUGCAUCAUGAUUUCUAAACUUUCCUUAUCGUUUGGUUGUUCCCUUCCUACAUUCACUCACUAGGUUUAUACCCACUCUUUUUAACUUCAUGUUUUCAGAUUCGAAGGUAGUUGGGACCUAGAUUGAAGUGUCCAUUUGUAUUCGCCAUUUGGUAGGUACCAUGGGAUCCGGUAAUGGUACCCACGCCCUAAGUCACUCUGCUGAUAGUCAAGGUCUUUUGUAUGCGUAUGUGGUUAUUGAAAUGUAAUUGGUGAGAUAUGUUGUAAACACUGUAUGUUUGGUUUGCAUGAUAAUAUCGCCACAGGUUGGCAAAUGGUAAUAUUAUUU